rnacentral:rRNA from 1 species
UACGUAGGGACCAAGCGUUGUCCGGAAUCAUUGGGCGUAAAGAGCGUGUAGGCGGCUUGUUAAGUCUUGCGUGAAAUCUCGGGCUCAACCCCGAGCGGUCGUGAGAAACUGGCAGGCUAGAGUGCGGGAGAGGAGAGUGGAAUUCCUGGUGUAGCGGUGAAAUGCGCAGAUAUCAGGAAGAACACCCGUGGCGAAGGCGGCUCUCUGGAACGCAACUGACGCUGAGACGCGAAAGCGUGGGAGCGAACAGG